GGAUUGGGAGGGUAAUUUGGUUGUAGCAUCAGUCACCUCUUUGAUUACCAGGGCUGUUUUGACUGGUCUGACUGGCUAGGUAGAUUUCAUUUUGCUGUCUCAGUGCUUCAUAUGCCACCUUCCUAACCCUGCAUGCUUGGUCUAGGAAGACAACUAUCUCCACUGGAGGAGACUCAUUCUUUAGUCAAAGAUCUGAGAAUAGCAGCAUUUCUCUGCUAGAACAAAUUAGGUCUCUUCAUCAUCUCCUCUCCAAUUUGAAAAUUCUCUUCUUACUCUUCCUGGAUUGGAAUAAAUACAAGCAAAGUGAGCAGAAGUACUCUCAGUGAUAUAUCCUAUAGUUAUUUGACUUUGA
rnacentral:snRNA from 1 species